GAUCCAGACUCCUACGGGAGGCAGCAGUGGGGAAUAUUGCACAAUGGGGGGAACCCUGAUGCAGCGACGCCGCGUGGGUGAAGGAGCACCUCGGUGCGUAAAGCCCUAUCGGCAGGGAAGAAACAGACGGUACCUGACUAAGAAGCCCCGGCUAACUACGUGCCAGCAGCCGCGGGAAUACGUAGGGGGCAAGCGUUAUCCGGAUUUACUGGGUGUAAAGGGAGCGUAGACGGCAUGGCAAGUCAGAUGUGAAAGCCCGGGGCUCAACCCCGGGACUGCAUUUGAAACUGUCAGGCUGGAGUGCAGGAGAGGUAAGUGGAAUUCCUAGUGUAGCGGUGAAAUGCGUAGAUAUUAGGAGGAACACCAGUGGCGAAGGCGGCUUACUGGACUGUAACUGACGUUGAGGCUCGAAAGCGUGGGGAGCAAACAGGAUUAGAUACCCCCGUACC
rnacentral:rRNA from 1 species